rfam:Equus caballus chromosome 1, whole genome shotgun sequence.
AUGGCUGGCGGCUGGGUGCCUUCUACUGGUGCUGAGCAGAGGCUUUCCCUAAGGCUGCUGUGAGCCUGUAGGGUUUCCCCCUAGGCUACGAAGCUGG